GGCACAGACACGCAAUCCCAGGCCCUAGCAAUCACGAAGAUGGCUGUGGAUUCAGAGUUAGCCUGGGCUGGGUGGUGAGACUUGUUUCACAAAAGCAAAAAUGAACCUGAGCUAGAGAGAGAGAGAGAGAGAGAGAGAGAGAGAGAGAGAGAGAGAGAGAUGAUGGUGAUGAUGAACAGAGGUCACUUCCUAAAUUCUGGACAUUCUCCCUCCAUGGAAUCAUUAUCCAAAAUGCAACUAUUAAAUAAAAAUUGUGUAGUGCUGGAGAUAGCUCACUGGUUAAGAGCACUUACUGGUCUUCCAGAGGACCUGAGUUCAGUUCCCAGCACCCACAUCUGAUGGUUCACAACUGUCAGCUCCAAGAGGAUCCCAUGCCUCUUGCCUCCAACCUCCGCAGGCACCUGCAUUCAUGAGCACACACAUACAUGUAAUUUAAAUAAUGAAAAUAAAUCUUAGUUGUGUAGGGUUGGAGAUGUAGCUCAGUUGGUAAAAUGUUUCCCUACCAUGAAUGAAAUGUUGGAUUCAGUCUCAAGCAUCACAUAAAAGCUAAGUUACGGAGCAUCACAUGGGAGCUACAAGCAGGAGGACCAGAAGUUCAAGGUCAUCCUCAGAUACUUAGCAAGUUUAAAGACAGUCCGGACAACGUGAGAUUCUGCCUCCAAAAUAGAAAUAACUCCCCAUCCCUUGGUUUUUUUUCAAGACCGGGUUUCUCUGCAUAACAGCCCUGGCUGUCCUGGAACUCACUUUUUAGACCAGGCUGCCCUUGAGUCUGCCUCCCAAGUGAUGGGAUUAAAGGUGAAUGCCACCACACUGGGCAAUAUAUAUAUUUUAAAUUAUGGGACUAGGUGCCUGUAGUGGUUCAAAUGAACCAACCAGCCUAGACUUUAAUCACAAUAGUGGGCUUUUGUUGGGUAUAAGACACCUAGUGGCCAAUGCACUAAAGAACUCUUUGACACCUAACUAAGCUGUGCAGUGUUAAGGCGUUCCUGUGCUCUGCUGUCUAUGGAUGCUGCACGAUCUGGUUAUUGGUUGGAGACCUCAGAACUGGUUCUGCUUGUGGGACUUGCCUGAUCCUGAGCUCUUCUCUGCUCAGAUAAGCUUCACUAGAGUGCACUGGGUGAAGGACUGUUCCUUUCAGCUCCAGCAUAAUAUGCUUUUGUCCUGUAAUACUCUUCCAGCCAGGGUGGUGUUGCAAGAAGCCCCACUUGCUAAUGAAUAGCAGGUGCAGGGAAAGGAAGUCUGGGUCUGUUUUUGCUCACUAGCAACACCUGCUUCUCUUUUGGUACAGGGAAUCUAACCGAGGGCCUCACAAAUACUAGUGCUGGAAAAGGAUUGAUACUUCUGGCCAGAUGCUACUUCUGCUUCAGGGGAGAACUCCACAAAUCCUGCACCCAGGAUGCCCAGAUAAGAAUGACACAUGUAUAAGGGGACAGAUUCUUCCGAAUUCCUGGCCUUGAUUCCAGCUGCAACCCUGGAACAAACAGAGAAUAAUAACUUGGUUAAGAUGAAAGCCUCUGGAUGACUAUGAGGGCACACACACACAGAAAAACCCAAGAGCAAUAAGUCCUCUCUUUAUCACAUCCAAACAUGUAGCAGGGCCUGAUCUACACUGAAGCUAGUAACAUAACACAGAACCUAUUUGUCACAGUACCACCUUGAGAAGAAGCAGCCUCUCAAGAUGUUUAUAAUUCCAGUUAUCUAUAGUAAGCUGUUGGAUGUAGAAGGAGUCACUACCAUGCCACUGAACCUCAAAUUUCACAGAUUCAUGCAUGAAAAAAUGCAUGCAGAUUCAUGAUGCAAAGUUCACUGCUCAUUCUUAUGAAGAAGAAAAAAAUCACACUCACACACACACACACACACAAUUUUAGAAAUCAUUUUCUAAAAACCUAGAUUCUGGGUACUCAUCUGUGAGGCAAUUCUCCUAAGAGAUGCCUAGGAGUCAGAAAUUCAGAACCCUUUAAUUUCUUUUUCCCGACAGGGACUCACUGUGUAUGCUAUGAGAGCCUCAAACUCUUAUCCUCCUGGCCUAGCUAUCUGAGUGCUGGGAUUAUAGUUAUGCACUUUAUCAUCCAUGUGUAAAAUAUUUACCAAAUAAAUCAGCACAUACUUCAUUUCUUCAGUCCAUUCAUAUCAAAUACUGUUCUGAGAACUUUGCUAUCAUAAAUUAUAACAACAAAAAUUUUUAAUAGGUGUCUCUUUUCAUGUACUGCUUUCUGAAGAUGAUAAGGUCGGGUCCCUCCUUCCUAUAAGCAAAUGUUUUAAUAAGCAUUGUCUCUCUGGGGAACCUGCCACACUUCUGCAUUCUGAGAAUCAUAUGAUAUACUGACAGAUACCCAGAGCUAUGCUAGUUAUUUGAAAAAGUGUUCAUUAAGAGAUUCCCUAUAACUGGGCUAGAGAGAUGGCUCAGCAGCUAAGAGCACCUCCUAUACUUAUUGAUGAUCACGGCUCAAAACACAUUGAACACAUAAAGGCUUACAACCAUCUGUGUAAGUCCAGUUCCAAAGAUUAUGGCACACUCUUCUGGACUCUUCAGGAACCAGCCACACACACAUUCUUACAAGCACUAAAAACAGUAUAAAAUAGAGCCAGGCAUGGUAGCACACACAUGUAAUCCCAGGACUGGGGACACUGGCAGGAUGAUCUCUGCGCGAUUGAGUGCUGCCUUGUCUACAAAGUAAAUUCCAGGACAGCUAGUACAGUUAGAGAAACCCUGUCUCAGAAAACCAGAAAGAAAAACCAUUUAUACAAUAAAAAACAAUUCUUUUAAAAAGAAAGAAUGUUAAUAACCUGAAAGAGGCUUGCUUUUGCCUAUGUCACUCUAACCACACAAGCAAAGCUGCUUUUGAAUCUACAACCCUUAAAAUGACUCCCAUAUUUUCUAUUGUCUACCCCCAAGCCCUGCUCCCAACAGCUCUGUGAACAAAACUUAGGACCUGGAUGUACAAGUGUUUAUUCACUGAGAUGCACCCCUACUCCACUAUUAUCUUACGCUUAUCUAAGUACAUAACUGUGAGGGAUAAAUAGGUUAUUGGUACAGAGCAUGUGUUAGGUCCUUGGUUGAUUCUAAACACCCAAUAUUAAUUAACUUUUUAAAGAAAAUCAAAUGUUUACAUUUUUCAAGCUCAGCUUAGGCUACACAGUAAGUGUCUGGGCUACUCAGGUUGACUUUUUCUUCAGAGGGGAAAAAUAAAAUUAAAAAGCAAGUGUUCUGAGGCCAAAGUCAGCAAAAGCUACACUUCCUUUUUACUCAUAGGAGAGAGAGCCUUAAACAAGGUCAUAAAAGUACUCAGUAGCUGAAACAGAAGUAAAUCCCUGUCAUCGUUACACAACAUGACUAGUAAUACUGUGAAUGAAUUCUAAGAUAGCUGGUGCCAUGUAAAGCCCUUGCUUAAAAAAUUACAAAUAAACGACUGGGUUGUGGCAGAAGCCUUCAAUCCCAGCAUGAGGCACAGGCAGGAGGAUCUCUGAGUUUGAGGCCACUGGGUCUACAGAGAGAGUUCCAGGUCGGGCAGGGCUGUUAAGCAGUGGAAACCCUGUCACAAAAAAUUUAAGAAAAAGAAAACCUCCAAAGGCCUCCUAAACCCUCGCUGCAGCCAUUACCUCCGCUAUUUAAGGCCCAUUUCGGCCUCCCUAGUCCCCAGUCUCCCCGGCGUCCUCUCCAUGACAGCCUCCCUCCUAUACUCAUGGAUCCUGACUGGUAACCAGACUGUAGCAGCCAGGAGGAGACACCAACAGAGGAGAUCACGAUAAAGAGACUCCACCCCACAUAGAAGAGGCCACUUUGUUCGCCCUUCCUUGGGCCGCAGAGCUAAACACAAGGCGCUUAUCCCACCAGGGUCAGAGGCAGAUCGAUGAUGUCACGCAAGGCGCCAAAGUUGAUGUCAGGUAGCAGUCCAGUGACAUUUCAGCAGAAGGUCUGUGAAUUUCACUGUGUCUUCGUCGUUUCUUGUGCACAUUUUCCAUGGGAAUUUCAACAAGAAAGUGUCCUGGGGGCUGAAAGCUGCUGAAUAGAACAAAGAAAGGGAAGGAGUGAGUGAGGCCUGAAGUAGACUUCAUGGGAGCGCUCGGGAAGAGGCCGACAAUGAAGGCACAGAGAGGGUAUCAGUCACUGUUGAUACGUUGACCUAAAGCUGGCAGUUAUCCUCAGACGUGCUUUUCCUGUCUGGUUCGUGCAAAAAGCGCCCUGCCAAGGGCCUAGCCAAGAGGUUUGAGGCCAGCCAGCUCUACCUAGUGAGAUCCAGACCAGCCAGAGCUGCCUAGUGAGAACCUGUGACUUCUUCGGAUGUUUGACUUCAUUUUGUAAUAUGAGCCUUCACCAAGUACCUGAUGAAAGCAGAAGCAGAGAUUCACAGCUAAGCACUGAGCCAAACUCCUAGAAUCCAGCUGCAGAGAGGGAAGCAUGAUGAGCAAAGGGGUCAAGACCAUGCCAUGAAAACCCAAAGAAACAGCUGACCUGAGCAAUUGGGUCAGGGACCCCAGUCUUGAAGCAGGGACCCAGCAUGGGAUGAAACCAGGCCCACUGAACAUUGCUGUCAUUUGGGAGUCCUGGACUUUCAAUGGAAUCUCUGGAAUUGGACCCAGUAUUUAUCUCUAGUGCAUGACGGGACAUUGGGAGCCCAUUCCCUAUGGAAAGAUACUCUCUCAGCCUAGAUACAAAGGUUAAGGCCUAAGCCCUGCCCCAAAUUAUGUGACAGACUAUCAUUAUCCUCCAUGGAAGGCCUCUCAUUACAUGAAAUGAGGAUGGGGUUUUGGUGAGGGGAAUGCCAUGAUGGGAAUAGAGGGAACUGGGAUUGGUAUGUAAAAUAAGAUUGUUUUUAAUUUAAA